rnacentral:rRNA from 1 species
UAGGUAGGGUGCGAGCGUUAAUCGGAAUUACUGGGCGUAAAGCGUGCGCAGGCGGUCUUUUAAGCCAGAUGUGAAAUCCCCGGGCUUAACCUGGGAACUGCGUUUGGAAAUGGAAGGCUAGAGUACGGCAGAGGGGGGUGUAAUUCCACGUGUAGCAGUGAAAUGCGUAGAGAUGUGGAGGAACACCGAUGGAGAAGGCAGCCCCCUGGACCUGUACUGACGCUCAUGCACGAAAGCGUGGGGAGCAAACAGG